rnacentral:rRNA from 1 species
CCGGCACGGGUGAGUAACACGUAUGCAAUCCACCUGUAACAGGGGGAUAAUCCGGAGAAAUCCGGACUAAUACCCAUAAUAUGGGCGCUCCGCAUGGAGAGUUCAUUAAAGAGAGCAAUUUUGGUUACAGACGAGCAUGCGCUCCAUUAGCCAGUUGGCGGGGUAACGGCCCACCAAGGCGACGAUGGAUAGGGGUUCUGAGAGGAAGGUCCCCCACAUUGGAACUGAGACACGGUCCAA